GACGAACGCUGGCGGCGUGCUUAACACAUGCAAGUCGAACGAAGAGCGAUGGAAGCUUGCUUCUAUCAAUCUUAGUGGCGAACGGGUGAGUAACGCGUAAUCAACCUGCCCUUCAGAGGGGGACAACAGUUGGAAACGACUGCUAAUACCGCAUACGAUCUAAUCUCGGCAUCGAGGAUAGAUGAAAGGUGGCCUCUACAUGUAAGCUAUCACUGAAGGAGGGGAUUGCGUCUGAUUAGCUAGUUGGAGGGGUAACGGCCCACCAAGGCGAUGAUCAGUAGCCGGUCUGAGAGGAUGAACGGCCACAUUGGGACUGAGACACGGCCCAGACUCCUACGGGAGGCAGCAGGGGGGAAUCUUCCGCAAUGGACGAAAGUCUGACGAAGCAACGCCGCGGGAGUGAUGACGGCCUUCGGGUUGUAAAGCUCUGUUAAUCGGGACGAAAGGCCUUCUUGCGAAUAGUGAGAAGGAUUGACGGUACCGGAAUAGAAAGCCACGGCUAACUACGUG
rnacentral:rRNA from 1 species